UGUGAGCUCAACAUUCUCAUUUAGUUAAAGAUACUGAAGUCCAGAGAGGUAAAGUGACUUGACCAGAGUCCUAAAGAAACUGGUGAGAUGCUUUUGGAAAGAACAUGCCUAAUAAGUAGCUCAGGUUCUGAAGGCCAGAAGUCCAAAAUGGGUCUCACUGGGCUAAAAUCAAGAAGUCAGCAGGGCUACGUUCCUUCUGGAGGCUCCAGGAUAGAACCCUGGUAGUGUGGUGGUUAAAAGGUUAGAACUGACCAAACAAGGAAUAUGCACAAGAUUUAAGAUGUGGAAGUGGGACAGAGGCCAUGAAGGUUUUCGUGGAAACCUCAGAGGUGCAUGAGUUCUCCUGGUUAAACUGAUCAAUUGCAAGCAAGAAACUAGCCAAUCUGAGGAUGAAUCUGUGGUCCAGAAAGCCCUGCCAAGUUACCCACCACCAAAACAACCCACUGCCAUCAAGUCGAGUUGGGAGGCUUAAAACGUGGUAUCACACUCAGAUGUACUUGCUGUUUGCAGUCUUGCUAUAAGUCUGCGCCCUACAAGGAAUUCUGGUGGUAAUAAUCAUCAGGGAAGGAUCUGCUGGAGGGUGUUUUCCUUGUUUAAGAAAUCCAGGUACUCUGAAGCCAUCCUGAUAGUCCCAGCUAAGCCCAAUCUUCCAGCAAACUCCACCAAGGCAACAAGUGAUAGAAGCCCUCUUGACUCCUACGUACCACUUCAGCCCCCAGAUGAAUACCACCAUGUGACUGCCAUCGCAUGCCUCAUAUAUUCCCUUAGUUAAACAAGAAGAUCUCUAAGAAUCUUAAGGGUGUGUUUUCCUAGUUAAACCACAGUGUUUUUAAGACUCUUAAGGUCAUUGUCCCAUAGUAGUCCCCUACGGUAGAGAUUUGUGACUAUGGCUUUUGGUCUGCUGAAUUAACUUAUAAAUUGAUACAUGAGAAACCUGUAAAGUUUUUUAAAGAGUUAUAUCAGAAAAGACUAAAAAAGGAUACAGACAGUUUAAAAAAAGAGAGAGAGACAAAAUACUUGGACUCCUGAAUUUCUGUGAAUAAGAAGCAGGUUGAGAAAAUAACGUAGCUACAUACAAGGGCAAGAAUUACUUAGAGAUGGAAUGGUGAGCCCAGGAAAUGGAGCCGAGAGCCAUGGAGACAUCUCAGAAAGUGUGAUUAUGUCCUAAUGAAAAAAUAGGCAAAAUGUUCCUGAUCGAAUUUUAGAAUUGCUGUGAACCAGAGACAGCUAUGUGCCUUCUCUUGCCACCCCCCUUUUGGAACAGGACUCUCUGCUGCAGUUUUCCUAUCACUGUAUAUUGGGUAUGUGUGAUGUUGGUGGUGGGUGGGGCAGAAAAAUUGUCCCUUUGUUUAUAAGUCUUCAGAUUGAAAGGAGCCAUAUCUGAGGAACUGGACCUGAGGAGACUUAUCUGUAUCUGGAUCUAAUUUGGAUGAUGAGAUCCUGGAUCUCAAGCCUAAGUCUGAUGGCUUAAUGAGUUGAAACUUUUAAAGAAGGAGGUAAAUAUAUUUUGCCUACAGGAGAAAUUUAAAUAGAUAACCAUGAUAGUUUUAAAACAUAGCUGCAAAAUAAUUAACUCUCCUAAAGUCUACCAUAUUUUUAUGCAAAUGACACUCUAGUUAAAAGUUUUUUUGCCAACUGUGCAAUCCCCUCCCACAUUCUUUUCCUAGGCACGCUAUGCACAUUAUAUAUGUGGGCACAUUAUUGAUGUGGAUGCGUUAUUUGAGUGAUGGUUAAAGUUGUGUGUCAACUUGGCUGGCACAUGAUCGUCUGUAGUUUAGUAGUUAUGAUGUAGUUUGAAAGUUAUGUAAUGAUGUAACCUGGUAGUUAUGUAAUGAUGUAGUCAACUCCAUGAUGAGAUCUGCUAUAAGCAGGCAGUUAGUUGAAAGGGCGUUUCCUUGCGGGUAUGGCCUGCCUCCAGUAUUUAAGGCUAGCUUUAAAUACCCGUCUCUGUGCUUCCACGCAACCCCUUUCCAACAUACAGUAUUAUAAUUAUCUCUUCACUUGUCUUUAUCACCCAUCUGAUGAACAUUCCCUAAGGGCAAGAAAUGGUGUACCCACCUUCAAGAAUAAUGGCUUACAUAGUAGGCUCCCAAUAUGUUAUUAUUUUUUUCUUCUACUUUUCCUACCCAAGGACUUGCUCUAAUUAGCUAUAGAACCAAGGCUAUCCAUUGAUGGGGAUUCUUAAACAUGCCCCACCUGGCCUCAUGAGGCUGAGUUUGCAUCCUCUGACUUCCAUUGCGCCCUGUAGGCCUAGUUUGCCCAUGGAUAUGUAUAUGAAGGACACCCACUAAAAUAAUAAACAGGUCCACGGUAGUUAGUUCCUCUAGAAAUACACAUGGAUUUGAAACCAAAGUGGGUAAUUACUCUGUAGAAACAUAUUUUGAGUUCUGCCUUUCCCAGAACCUUCAAAAAAUAGAACAUAAUGUGUAGCCAAACCCCAAAUACCCCUGGGUUUGCACAUCUCUAAUAAUCCCAUCCAGAUACAUUUACUUUCACAUAAUUGAUUUCUGGUUCCAAGAUUUUUCCAGUAUGAAAAACAACUCCUAGAGAGACUUGAUCUUCUGUGAGCAGCAGCCUGACUGCUACUCCCAUAGCUUCAUGGCCAUCCCAGAAACUUCAAGACCAACCCUCAACGUUCCUGUUUCAAAAUUACACACUUUAUUUGAAUGCAUGAUAAUUCUACCUACUGAGAAACACUGGGAUCAACCAGGCCGGAAUCUCAGCUCUGCCACUCACCAGUCCUGUCACUGUCAGCAAGUUUACUUAAUCCAUCUGAGCCUGUUUCUAUAGAAGUAAAGGAAGAAAUAACAGUGCCUGCCUUAUAGGUUGUUGCAACCGUUACAUGAGAUACCACAUGCAGAACGCCCAGCCAGUUCUGACACAGAUAAGCUCUCUAUGAACGAAAGAAUGCUGGUUGUUACUAUUAUUAUUACAUUCUCCCUCUGCUGUGCUCUCUCAAGAGAAAAUUAUCAGACUGGAUGGGGUUUAAAUCUUCUGAAGAAUGCCUGACUAUGUUAGAAGACAUUGGAUUGGCCAUAAUUGCCCUGGAAACCUACUGCCUUGCUUCUUUAGAGGAGGUGAUGGGCCGAGGUGGAAUAAAGAAAAAGAGAGAAAUAUCGUGAUUUAUUUUUCUUUAGCUCACGACCUGCCCCAUUUUCCAGUGACCUCUGCUCUCCACCCCAUCAAAUACAGACUUCUGUAGCUACAAUGACCAUACAAACACAAGUGUUCUUAAGGGGGCAACAUGUCUCAACAUUUUAAAUUGGGAUUGCUCUGGAGAAAUGUAAGACAUAUGGUCAUCGUACCCACAGUUCUCAAAGCCAGAAGGAGGCUGGCUCCACAAGAAGAAAACCAAAACAAUCAAAUAUCUCUUCUGUUUGCCAAAACAAAUCUUGUGUCUCCUCCAAUGUUAUUCCUGCAGCUAUCUUUGUUUGAAUUGGGCCUGUUCAACAGUUCCAUUUCUGCUACCAUCUCUGGAGAUGAGGGAAAGAAAACACCUUCAUGUUCACUUAUAUUAGUAAGGAAU